CAGGUUAAUCAUCUGCUGCAAAUUGCCCAGAAGUAUCAAGCUGCUGCCAAUGAAAGUGGGCCUGCUAGGGUAUCGACCAAUGAUGCACAAGCCAUUUGCAACAUGUUUGCGUCAGCAUCACAACAACUAGCGAAAAAUCUAGACCACCACAGCUUAAAUGAACAUGGGCUUUCUAAAAGAUAUGUUCGGUGCUUGCAGAUAGCAGAGGUGGUGAAUAACAUGAAGGACUUGAUUGAUUUUAGCCACAAGAACAAGCUUGGCCCUAUAGGUAUGACCAUGCACAUUC